UACGUAGGUGGCAAGCGUUGUCCGGAUUUACUGGGCGUAAAGAGCGCGCAGGCGGUCGUUCAAGUCGCGUGUGAAAGCCCCCCGGCUCAACUGGGGAGGGUCACGCGAUACUGAUCGACUCGAAGGCAGGAGAGGGAAGUGGAAUUCCCGGUGUAGUGGUGAAAUGCGUAGAUAUUGGGAAGAACACCGGUGGCGAAGGCGGCGACCUGGUCCGUGACUGACGCUGAGGCGCGAAAGCGUGGGGAGCAAACAGG
rnacentral:rRNA from 1 species